rnacentral:lncRNA from 1 species
GGUAUUUCUGCUUCUGGAACUUCUUCUCCAGGCCCAGGAGCUGCAGCUCGGUGAAGAUGGUGCGGCUGCGGCGGGGUUUCUUUAGCCGCGGAGUGCAGUGCUCCGUAUCAGACUCACUGCUGAUGCUGAGGGGAGUCUCGCUGGAUGGAGGCAGAUGAGGGGACGACUGAGACAGAGGAGACACACUGCUGGACGCCUGGUGUGUGAUCACAGACAGCAGAGGAUACGACCUCAGAGGAACAGAGCCUGGACAACAAGAGCAACGCAAUGAAUAAUCAUUUGAGUGUCUGGUGAAGAGAAAGGCCUCUGCAUGUGCUGUGGAGGAGAGUAAGACGGAGAGCCCAUCUGCUCUGGGGUUCUGGAAGACCACAACACAAGACUAUGAAAUAGAAGUUCUACAAAAGACACUUGACAGUGGAAAACACAUAACUGUUUAAAAGAUCACUGUGAGUUUCUUCUGUUGAACACAGAAGAAGAUAUUUUGCAAACGGUAAGCAUUAACGUUCAUUUGUUUUACCAUGACAGUUAAAGGGUUACGAAACACCAAAACACAUGAUGGGCCCUAUCAUAUACCCGACUGUAAUGUGCAAGAUGUGCACAAUUUGUUGUU